GAUAGACAUCAAUCCUCUAAAACAGAAAAUAUCCCACUAUAUGCGUCUCAACAUCAUCAGAGGCCCAAAACAAUGAACCGACCCUUCUACACCAUAUGCGUUUCAUCAGAGCCCCAAAACAGUAAACCGAUCCUUCUCAAUAUUUGAUUUUCCCCCAAAACGCUUUUGGAUCUCUCUCAGAGCGAAGAGUACUGCUUUGGUUUGUUUGUUGAUCCACAGUUAUUAGGGCAGAGAGGAGCUGUUACUUGCGAUUUGCGAAUUUGAUUUGGAUCAAGAUUCUAUGCGAAAGAGUUUACAUGUCAUUCUGCUGCCACUGUUCCUUUGUCUAUUGGUUAAUACUAUCUUGAUUUGUUACUCUUAUUCAGAUUCUGGGAACAGUGUGCUGGCAAAUUGUUUAGCUGUUUUAAAUUCAGAUUUCAGGAAUAGUCUGCUGUCAAAUUGUCCAACUGUUUCAUAUCCCGAUGUGAAGAAAUGGAAGUCUUGACAAAUCCAAGUCACUUCUAUUUAUCAUAAAUAGUCUCAUUAAAAUUGGUUGGUUUGAAAGUAAUAUGGGAUGUGACAAUUUUGAACUGUGUUAGCCAAAAUUGCAUAUAUGGUAAACAUUUUGUGUCAACUCGCUAUGACGCGUCGGCAAAGAAGAGUUACAGGAGAUGUGCAUUUACACAGUGUGGAAAAUUCUGGUGCUACCCCUCGGCAGAGAAAAAUUAGAAGAAAUGUGUCCUUGCAAAGCACUGAAAAUAUUGCAGACGAAGUUUGCAGUAGGAAACGAAACAAAUAUGCGUCUACUGCAAAUAUCAAUCCAUAUACUAGCACAUCCAUUACUGAAGAACCUGAAAAUUCUGCAAAUAUCAGUACAUAUGCAAGCACAUCCAAUAAUAGAGAACCUGAAAAUGAAACUUCAUGUGGAAACAGUAUUGGACAAGCAUUCUAUCAAAGAAAAAGACGUGGAGAAACCUUGGUGUACUCAGAUAUUGGAGAUAUGAGUUAUGUUUGUAUCGACUGCAACGCUUUAUUCUGGUUAAAUGAAUCGAAAAAGCAAGUGUCCAAAAAUAACCCCCCAAUAUAUACAAAAUGUUGUCAAGAAGGUAGAAUCAAACUUGAAGUAUCACUCCCUACACCUCCUUUUUUGGAACAUUUGCUUGAUCCGAAUAAUGAUCGACAUUUUAGAGAAAACAUACGUGCUUAUAAUUCUAUGUUUGCAUUUACGUCGAUGGGAGCUAAAAUCGAUGAAACAAUCAAUGAUGGAUCCGGACCCUACAUUUUUAAAAUUAGUGGCCAAGUACAUCAUCUAAUGGGUUCUCUCUUACCUAUUGAAGGUGAAUCUCCGAAAUUUGCACAACUGUAUAUAUAUGACACUCAUAAUGA